AUCCUCAGGAUCCAAACCCACUACAGCUGUCCUGGGAAACUCACAAACCUCCCAGAGCCAUGGCCAGCAAGGGCUUGAAGGAUCUGAAGCAGCAGGUGGAGGGGACGGGCCAAGAAGGUGCCACUGCAGGCCAGCCAGUGGACCCCACUGAUGCUGGACAGAAAGGUGCUGAGAAGCCCCAGGAAGCCACUGACAAGGCUGCCAACCAGGGUUCUGAUGGGGCUAUGGGGAAGAAGUUCAGCCACCAGAAAUGAGAUCGCCUCUUCCGGCUCUAUUUGGCAGAACUUGGCCCUCUCGUUCUGCCCUUCUUCAAUAAAGUGCAGCAUCGUCA